UGAUCUUUAGCUGCAUUGCUGUGCCUGGCUGGCUGCUGAGCGCUAAUGCUACCUUCGAACUGGAUGUUUUAGCCUUUUAUCCAUUUGUGCCACGCUUCUAACUGUUGCAGAGAGUAAGUUCAGCUUUAAAAAGAGGUUAAAAAGAAGAGUUGUGUACAAUUGCAACAGCUUCUGUUUGGACUGCGGCAGCUGUUGAACUCCAUUGAACAAAUGCAUCUCACUCAUGGCAGCUAACGAGUGCAGGUUUUUCAUCGAACGAUGACCCCGACAAAGAAACCUCUUUAACAGUAAUAAACACGUCAGUCUUCAUGGAUUCAACUCUUGGACAUCCCUCAUCGCAAGAGAUGAUUCCGGACCUUGUUCGGCAGCCCUUGAACACACCAUAUUUGCUGUGAGAAGCAAAAGUGAAACCUCUACAGCGUGACUCAGAUUCCAUCUGUUCAUCGAUCAUCUUACAUUGUCAUUCAUGAGUGAUGCCUGAAAGGACCCAUGGGGAGAAUUAAUGGCAGCUUUGGCGGAACAGUGAAGCCGCAAGUGAUGGAUUGUUACAGCACAGGUGACCAACUGCACAGGUACCUAGCGAUGGAGAAUCCGCCCCAGGGACUCAGGUGGACUCGCCAGGAGAACAUUCACCCACAUCGGGGAUGGCCUUAGGUGCUCAGGUGAGCCUCAGUGAUCAAUCACUGAUUCUUUAACGUCAGUGAGCUUCUCCUAUCAGUCAGUCAGUCAGUUGCUGGUUGAGGGGAGGGCCUCGGGUGGUGUGUGACGGUGAUAGAAGGCUGUGGGAUGAUCAGGGCGAGCUCCCACUUGUACAACACCACCGAGGCUUCACACAGGUGGAGAUUUGUCACGGGCUGCUUGAAGCCCACUUGUGAACUGAAUCAAGUGAGCAUGUUUAAGCAACGCUGCAACGACCAUC